AAAAUCGGAUUAACCGUUUAGAAGUUACCGAAUUAUUUCCCUCUUUUUUUUCCUAUACCACUGUGCGUCGUGACUUUAAUGUUGCAGCUUUACUUCCUCCACAGGUUCGGCAGCCAGGUUGUUUCGCCUUCUGACGACCGUACAAAUGAUCUAUAGGGGGCUGCUACGACAUUUAUUUAAAUGUCGUAGCAGGUCAGUCUUAUCCGAGUCCGGUGAAUACCUGGAAUCUCUUCGGGCGGUAAUGGAAGACGAUUGCGGAUGUUGUUUCCCUCGUUGGAUGUGGCAGAGUGAUUUUAUUUGCCGCUGCUUCAAUAGCCGCAAUACCACAUCUUCUCAUCAACUCUUCAAAACGGAAAAAGGACAGAAUCUUUCCUCUUGGCUCACCAAGAUACCUUCGUGACGCCACAAUAUGUCUCCUCAUCUUAUAUUAUAUAUUAUAUAUUUAUAUAUUUUAUUUUUCCGCCAUUUAAUUUAUUUUGUUUUUUCUUUACUAAUAAAGUAUUUAUCAACGUUACUAUCUUUUCGUUUAUUCUUAAACGUCAAAAAAAUCUUUGCGUUGCCAACUAUCUAAGUGUGUUUAUGUUCAAGAACAGGGUG